GUCUACAGCCAUGCCACCCUGAACGUGCCCGAUCCCAUCUAAUCUAGGAAGCUAAGGAGGGUCGGGCCUGGUUAGUACUUGGAUGGGAGACUCACCUAGGGAGAUCAUGUGAUGUAGGCA
rnacentral:rRNA from 1 species